UACGGAGGAUCCGAGCGUUAUCCGGAUUUAUUGGGUUUAAAGGGUGCGUAGGCGGAUUGAUAAGUCAGUGGUGAAAUUCUACAGCUUAACUGUAGACUUGCCGUUGAUACUGUUAGUCUUGAGUGUGGUCAAGGCAGGCGGAAUGUGUAAUGUAGCGGUGAAAUGCUUAGAUAUUACACAGAACACCGAUUGCGAAGGCAGCUUACUAAUCCAUCAUUGACGCUGAGGCACGAAAGCGUGGGGAUCAAACAGGAUUA
rnacentral:rRNA from 1 species